rnacentral:ncRNA from 2 species
AAUCUUACAAAUUUCAUCACUCGUAUAUGCUCGGUAAUAUGGUCUGAGUGUUUCUACCUGGUUCCCAAUGAAAGAACCGGACUACGGGUUAAAGUAUAGAAAAG